rnacentral:misc_RNA from 1 species
AACGCACAUUGCACCUAUUAGCAUUCUAGUAGGUAUGCCUGUCCGAGCGUCAUUUCGACCCUCAGGCCUGCUUCGGCGAGGCCUGGUGUUGGGGGUUAUCCCCCGCGGCGCUGGCCGCGGGGGCCCCCGAAAGCCAUCGGCGGUGCCUGCCAGCACUCCGGGCGCAGUAAAUACACCUCGCCCUGGACGUCUGGCGGCGCGCCUGCCGCUAAACGUGCCGCCCCCCCGGGCGACAGAACUUAAAUGGUUGACCUCGGAUCAGGUAGGAAUACCCGCUGAACUUAA